UACGUAGGGACCAAGCGUUGUUCGGAUUUACUGGGCGUAAAGGGCGCGUAGGCGGCUUAACAAGUCACUUGUGAAAUCUCCGGGCUUAACUCGGAACGGCCAAGUGAAACUGUCAAGCUAGAGUGCAGAAGGGGCAAUCGGAAUUCUUGGUGUAGCGGUGAAAUGCGUAGAUAUCAAGAGGAACACCUGAGGUGAAGACGGGUUGCUGGGCUGACACUGACGCUGAGGCGCGAAAGCCAGGGGAGCAAACGGGAUUAGAUACCUCCGUGAUCAGAUCC
rnacentral:rRNA from 1 species